rnacentral:rRNA from 1 species
UACGAAGGGGGCUAGCGUUGUUCGGAAUCACUGGGCGUAAAGGGCGCGUAGGCGGCUUUAUAAGUCGGGGGUGAAAGCCUGUGGCUCAACCACAGAAUUGCCUUCGAUACUGUAGGGCUUGAGACCGGAAGAGGUUAGUGGAACUGCGAGUGUAGAGGUGAAAUUCGUAGAUAUUCGCAAGAACACCAGUGGCGAAGGCGGCUAACUGGUCCGGUUCUGACGCUGAGGCGCGAAAGCUAGGGGAGCGAACGGG